AAAACAAUAUCCCUCCGACUCGUUCAAUCCCCACUGGGAUUGACGAGCGAUAAGGUGUAGGGAGUAAUCCCUCUGCCCGCCGUGUUUGCAAAGGAGGCGCUUCGACUUGGUG
rnacentral:ncRNA from 2 species